GUCCCUGUAGCACGAUGGAUAGUAAGUUGGACUUCUAAUCCAAAGGUCGUGGGUUCGAAUUCCACCUGGGAUG
rnacentral:tRNA from 1 species